rnacentral:snoRNA from 1 species
GAUACCCCUAGAAGCAUUGCAGGUCUGGCUGCUGUGUCACAGGUGCACCUGUAGGUGGCAGAGAGAAGAGAGGCUGUGUCUAUGCUCAGCCUGACAUC